UAGGGAAUCUUCCGCAAUGGGCGAAAGCCUGACGGAGCAACGCCGCGUGAGUGAUGAAGGUCUUCGGAUCGUAAAACUCUGUUAUUAGGGAAGAACAAAUGUGUAAGUAACUAUGCACGUCUUGACGGUACCUAAUCAGAAAGCCACGGCUAACUACGUGCCAGCAGCCGCGGUAAUACGUAGGUGGCAAGCGUUAUCCGGAAUUAUUGGGCGUAAAGCGCGCGUAGGCGGUUUUUUAAGUCUGAUGUGAAAGCCCACGGCUCAACCGUGGAGGGUCAUUGGAAACUGGAAAACUUGAGUGCAGAAGAGGAAAGUGGAAUUCCAUGUGUAGCGGUGAAAUGCGCAGAGAUAUGGAGGAACACCAGUGGCGAAAGCGACUUUCUGGUCUGUAACUGACGCUGAUGUGCGAAAGCGUGGGGAUCAAACAGG
rnacentral:rRNA from 1 species